UUGUGUCCAUGGCGAGAGGUAACGAUUGAGGCCGAACUGCGUAAAGUGUUCCGGGAAGUUGGCAAACAUAGCGUGUUAUGAUUGUAAGGAGAAUGUUAUAGGAUUAACGCAGGCCUUAAUAUUGCUUCUAAUUCUGGAGAUGUACUACGUUGUCAGCUGUUCACUACCAGUGAACUAAGAAAAUCAUGAUGGCAGACCCUCAGAUUACUCAAGAAAUGAAGAGGCAUGCUGUUAUUGUGGUUAUAAAGGCUGAUCAUAGUGAUUUAUAAAUAUCUCAAUUAUAAAAGUUGUCAGAUCUUUCAUCUACAAAGCUUAUAAGGAGCUAGAGACAGAAGAUGGAAAUGUUUCACCAGUAUCAAAGCAUAAAAAGCAUUCUAAAUGCUCUAAAAUCAUCAGAACACCUGAAUUUAUCCAGCAAGUUCAAUAGACCAUUGAUUACAAUCCCAGAAAGUCCAUGGGGUCAAUUGCAAAAGAUUUCCAUGUGUCAGAAGGAACAGUCAGAAAUGUUGUCCUCGAAGACAUCAGCUAUAAAUCUUAUAUGAUGAGGAAAGGUCAACUUGUCAGAAAAAGCAAAAGAAAAUCACAUCAUAUCUAAAAGGCUCUUAAACAAACUGAAAAAUCCAGCAGAAGAUUAGACUUGGUUUUCCUCAAAUGAGAAAAACUUCGAUCAAGAUCAGUUAACAGAAGAAACAACAGAGAUUAUGUGCAGACUCUUCUGAAGUACCAAGUGUAAUGUAUACAAAAUUUCUUAGAACUCUCAUGGUUUUAGGGGCUGUAAGCAAUGAAGGACAUGUGACGCCUUCUUACUUCUUUCAACAAGGCCUUAGAGUUAACUCUGCUGCCUACAUUGAGGUCCUGGAAAUAAUUGUUAAGCCCUGGAUAGACAGUGUAUGCAAUGGGAGGCCAUAUGUGUUUCAGUAAGACCCUGCACUAUCACAUAUGGCUCUAGUAACACAGGAAUGGAUGGCUGAAAAUUUUCAUGAUCACAUAACCCCUAACAUUUGGCCUCCUAAUUCUCCAGAUCUCAAUCCUUGGACUAUUACAUGUGCAGUGUUGUUGAAAAAGAGGUCAAGGAAGAUUCUUUGAAAGCUGCCAUAGUUAGAGUAAUGUCCAAAAUGAACCAGGACCACUUGAUUCGAGCAUGUAGAUGAUUUAGAUCUCAUAUAGAAGCUGUUGUUGAAGUGAA